GGGUUGUGAGGUUAAGCGACCAAGCGUACACGGUGGAUGCCCUGGCAGUCAGAGGCGAUGAAGGACGUGCUAAUCUGCGAAAAGCGCCGGUAAGGUGAUAUGAACCGUUAUAACCGGCGAUGUCCGAAUGGGGAAACCCAGUGUGACUCGUCACACUAUCAUUAACUGAAUCCAUAGGUUAAUGAGGCGAACCGGGGGAACUGAAACAUCUAAGUACCCCGAGGAAAAGAAAUCAACCGAGAUUCCCCCAGUAGCGGCGAGCGAACGGGGAGGAGCCCAGAGCCUGAAUCAGCAUGUGUGUUAGUGGAAGCGUCUGGAAAGGCGCGCGAUACAGGGUGACAGCCCCGUACACAAAAGCGCAUGUGCUGUGAGCUCGAUGAGUAGGGCGGGACACGUGGUAUCCUGUCUGAAUAUGGGGGGACCAUCCUCCAAGGCUAAAUACUCCUGACUGACCGAUAGUGAACCAGUACCGUGAGGGAAAGGCGAAAAGAACCCCGGCGAGGGGAGUGAAACAGAACCUGAAACCGUGUACGUACAAGCAGUGGGAGCCCCACCACUAAGCCAGUGGUGAACUCCACAUACGCAUCCUUUGCUGAGGAUACGGUUAACGGAGCGAAAGCGACGUUUAACCGCAAAAGAAGCAGAGGGGGCUUAGUGGUGGGGUGACUGCGUACCUUUUGUAUAAUGGGUCAGCGAUUUAUAUUCUGUAGCAAGGUUAACCGCAUAGGGGAGCCGGAGGGAAACCGAGUCUUAAUUGGGCGUUAAGUUGCAGGGUAUAGACCCGAAACCCGGUGAUCUAGCCAUGGGCAGGUUGAAGGUUGGGUAACACUAACUGGAGGACCGAACCGACUAAUGUUGAAAAAUUAGCGGAUGACCUGUGGCUGGGGGUGAAAGGCCAAUCAAACCGGGAGAUAGCUGGUUCUCCCCGAAAGCUAUUUAGGUAGCGCCUCGUGAAUUCAUCUCCGGGGGUAGAGCACUGUUUCGGCCAGGGGGCCAUCCCGGCUUACCAAUCCGAUGCAAACUGCGAAUACCGGAGAAUGUUAUCACGGGAGACACACGGCGGGUGCUAACGUCCGUCGUGAAGAGGGAAACAACCCAGACCGCCAGCUAAGGUCCCAAAGUCAUGGUUAAGUGGGAAACGAUGUGGGAAGGCCCAGACAGCCAGGAUGUUGGCUUAGAAGCAGCCAUCAUUUAAAGAAAGCGUAAUAGCUCACUGGUCGAGUCGGCCUGCGCGGAAGAUGUAACGGGGCUAAACCAUGCACCGAAGCUGCGGCAGCGAACGUAUCACCCAAGACAACUUUGCACAGUUGACGAUUGACGGAGCGAAGCGACGUCAAAGCGUUUUACAACGUCGAGUUGGCUUAGGGAUACGUUCGUUGGGUAGGGGAGCGUUCUGUAAGCCGUUGAAGGUGGCCUGUGAGGGUUGCUGGAGGUAUCAGAAGUGCGAAUGCUGACAUAAGUAACGAUAAAGCGGGUGAAAAGCCCGCUCGCCGGAAGACCAAGGGUUCCUGUCCAACGUUAAUCGGGGCAGGGUGAGUCGACCCCUAAGGCGAGGCCGAAAGGCGUAGUCGAUGGGAAACGGGUUAAUAUUCCCGUACUUGGUGUUACUGCGAAGGGGGGACGGAGAAGGCUAUGUUGGCCGGGCGACGGUUGUCCCGGUUUAAGCGUGCAGGUGUGUGUUCCAGGUAAAUCCGGUUCACUUUAACACUGAGGCGUGACGACGAGGCACCACGGUGCUGAAGCAACAAAUGCCCUGCUUCCAGGAAAAGCCUCUAAGCCUCAGGUAACAUCAAAUCGUACCCCAAACCGACACAGGUGGUCAGGUAGAGAAUACCAAGGCGCUUGAGAGAACUCGGGUGAAGGAACUAGGCAAAAUGGUGCCGUAACUUCGGGAGAAGGCACGCUGACACGUAGGUGAAGUGGUUUACCCAUGGAGCUGAAGUCAGUCGAAGAUACCAGCUGGCUGCAACUGUUUAUUAAAAACACAGCACUGUGCAAACACGAAAGUGGACGUAUACGGUGUGACGCCUGCCCGGUGCCGGAAGGUUAAUUGAUGGGGUCAGCGCAAGCGAAGCUCCUGAUCGAAGCCCCGGUAAACGGCGGCCGUAACUAUAACGGUCCUAAGGUAGCGAAAUUCCUUGUCGGGUAAGUUCCGACCUGCACGAAUGGCGUAAUGAUGGCCAGGCUGUCUCCACCCGGGACUCAGUGAAAUUGAACUCGCUGUGAAGAUGCAGUGUACCCGCGGCAAGACGGAAAGACCCCGUGAACCUUUACUAUAGCUUGACACUGAACACUGGUCCUUGAUGUGCAGGAUAGGUGGGAGGCUUUGAAGUGUGGACGCCAGUCUGCAUGGAGCCAUCCUUGAAAUACCACCCUUUAAUGGCUGGUGUUCUAACGUGGGCCCCUGACCGGGGUUGCGGACAGUGUCUGGUGGGUAGUUUGACUGGGGCGGUCUCCUCCUAAAGAGUAACGGAGGAGCACGAAGGUUGGCUAAUCCUGGUCGGACAUCAGGAGGUUAGUGCAAUGGCAUAAGCCAGCUUGACUGCGAGCGUGACGGCGCGAGCAGGUGCGAAAGCAGGUCAUAGUGAUCCGGUGGUUCUGAAUGGAAGGGCCAUCGCUCAACGGAUAAAAGGUACUCCGGGGAUAACAGGCUGAUACCGCCCAAGAGUUCAUAUCGACGGCGGUGUUUGGCACCUCGAUGUCGGCUCAUCACAUCCUGGGGCUGAAGUAGGUCCCAAGGGUAUGGCUGUUCGCCAUUUAAAGUGGUACGCGAGCUGGGUUUAGAACGUCGUGAGACAGUUCGGUCCCUAUCUGCCGUGGGCGCUGGAAGAUUGAGGGGGGCUGCUCCUAGUACGAGAGGACCGGAGUGGACGCAUCACUGGUGUUCGGGUUGUCAUGCCAAUGGCACUGCCCGGUAGCUACAUACGGAAGAGAUAAGUGCUGAAAGCAUCUAAGCACGAAACUUGCCCCGAGAUGAAUCUUCCCUGAGCCUUUAAGGCUCCUGAAGGAACGUUGAAGACGACGACGUUGAUAGGCCGGGUGUGUAAGCGCAGCGAUGCGUUGAGCUAACCGGUACUAAUGAACCGUGAGGCUUAACCUUACAACGCCGAAG
rnacentral:rRNA from 1 species